rnacentral:rRNA from 1 species
AUGCAGUCGAGCGGAGAUGAGGUGCUUGCACCUUAUCUUAGCGGCGGACGGGUGAGUAAUGCUUAGGAAUCUGCCUAUUAGUGGGGGACAACAUUCCGAAAGGAAUGCUAAUACCGCAUACGCCCUACGGGGGAAAGCAGGGGAUCUUCGGACCUUGCGCUAAUAGAUGAGCCUAAGUCGGAUUAGCUAGUUGGUGGGGUAAAGGCCUACCAAGGCGACGAUCUGUAGCGGGUCUGAGAGGAUGAUCCGCCACACUGGGACUGAGACACGGCCCAGACUCCUACGGGAGGCAGCAGUGGGGAAUAUUGGACAAUGGGCGGAAGCCUGAUCCAGCCAUGCCGCGUGUGUGAAGAAGGCCUUUUGGUUGUAAAGCACUUUAAGCGAGGAGGAGGCUACUUAGAUUAAUACUCUAGGAUAGUGGACGUUACUCGCAGAAUAAGCACCGGCUAACUCUGUGCCAGCAGCCGCGGUAAUACAGAGGGUGCGAGCGUUAAUCGGAUUUACUGGGCGUAAAGCGUGCGUAGGCGGCUGAUUAAGUCGGAUGUGAAAUCCCUGAGCUUAACUUAGGAAUUGCAUUCGAUACUGGUCAGCUAGAGUAUGGGAGAGGAUGGUAGAAUUCCAGGUGUAGCGGUGAAAUGCGUAGAGAUCUGGAGGAAUACCGAUGGCGAAGGCAGCCAUCUGGCCUAAUACUGACGCUGAGGUACGAAAGCAUGGGGAGCAAACAGGAUUAGAUACCCUGGUAGUCCAUGCCGUAAACGAUGUCUACUAGCCGUUGGGGCUUUG